UACGUAGGUGGCGAGCGUUGUCCGGAUUUACUGGGCGUAAAGGGAGCGUAGGCGGACUUUUAAGUGAGAUGUGAAAUACUCGGGCUCAACUUGAGUGCUGCAUUUCAAACUGGAAGUGUAGAGUGCAGGAGAGGAGAAUGGAAUUCCUAGUGUAGCGGUGAAAUGCGUAGAGAUUAGGAAGAACACCAGUGGCGAAGGCGAUUCUCUGGACUGUAACUGACGCUGAGGCUCGAAAGCGUGGGGAGCAAACAGG
rnacentral:rRNA from 1 species